rnacentral:lncRNA from 10 species
AAAUUUCUUCCUUCAGAGAGCCUCAAAUCAGUAUCAUCAGGAUUAAGUAACUCCCCAUGGCAAUAUUUAACUCCUUGGUUGUGCUACAGAGGUUCCAUCAGUGUUUCCUCAUCCUGAGGAUCAGGAUGUCUUCUGGAGACAGUGGCAUAGGCAGCAGCAGGAAUUUCGUGGGGCUCAUGUUUCUAAAAUAAAACCUAAUUCCCGGAUGUGAAAAUAUGCUUAAAUGGAUGUCAAACUGAGUGGAAUUCAGCUCAGGGAGUUGCAGUUAAGAGUCAGCUUACAACUAAAUGCACGAGCAACCUGCAAUUACAUUUAGGAGAUUAAAAGCAUCAACUCUCACAGAUGAACAUCUUUAGAAGGCAGAGUCUCUACUGAUGCCUUGCUUUCACUGAACCCAGCUUGAAGCCAGAGGAUGGGGAAGCCAUUGGUGGUAGAAGCUACUGAUCAGGGUUCAUUGGUCUUCAGUGCAGGAGAAGAGUAGAGAUUGGAUUUAGAGGGAAGAAUAGAAAAUAUCUUGUAUAACCACUCUAUUCAUUUGCUAAAGCUGCCAUAAUAAAAUACCACACACAGUGUAGCUUUAACAGAAAGUUAUUUUCUCACAAUUCUGGUGCCUAGAAAAAGAAGAUCAAGGUGUUGACGGGUUUGAUUUCUUCUGAGGCCUCUCUUCUUGGCUUGUAGAUGGCUGCCUUCUUGCCAUGUUGUUACAUGGUCAUCUCUCUCUCUGUGUCCCAAUCUCUUUUUCUUAUAAGAAGACCAAUCAUGCUGGAUUAUCACUGACUCUAAAAGUCUUGAAUUUAAAAGUCUUUGAAUUUUACCUUAAAUAUUUUAUCCAUUUUACAAUUUAUUAUACAUUAAAUAUUGUAUAAAUGUUAAUGUAUACAAAAAAUGACCAAUAUAAAUAUUAAUAAACCACAUAGAGGAAACCACUGAAUUCUUUGGUCUCAUUAAGCCAAUUAUCUGUUCAAACGUGCUUCAAGUAUCCAUAGUCUCAGUUGAGAUUAGAAUGCUUUGUACCUAGAUUUAAAAUAUGUCCUUACCUUUUUUUUUUUUUUGCCCCAGACAGUGACCAAACAAAACUGUCUACUAGGCCAAGGUUGAACUUCUACCAACACCAGUGUCCUCAAGUCCUCUCAGGUCUCCCUUAUCUGAAAUCUCUCAGGAAAAGAUUGGAUAAAUUAAAUUUAUAUGUAUUUAAUUUAUAUUGAAUUUGUAAGCUGUAUAUGUAUACAACUCAAUGUGUUUUUAUUUGUAUUUCGACAGGUAACAAAGCCUUUUACAAGAAUUUUCCAAAUUGUUUUCAGAAUACCAACAUUCUAAAAGCUGAAAUGCUCUUCUCCUGCCCUUGGACCUCAGAACUCCAACCAGAUUCUCUGGCCUUUGGACUCUGGGACUUGCACUAGCAGUCCCAGGUUGUCAGGCCUUUGGUCUUGGACUGAGAGUUUCAUCAUCAGCUUCCCUGGUUCUGAGGCUUUUAGACUCAGAUUGAGCCAAUCUACUGGAUUUCCUGGUUCUCCAGCCUGCAGACAGCCACUUGUGGGGAUUCUCAGCCUCCAUAAUCGUGUGAGCCAAUUUCUCCAAUAAACCUCCUCUCAUCUAUCUAUCUAUCUAUCUGUCUGUCUGUCUGUCUGUCUGUCUGUCUGUCUAUCUAUCUAUCUAUCUAUCUAUCAAUCUAUUUACCCACCUACCCAUCCAUCCUAUUGGUUCUCUCUGCAGAACUCUGAUUGACACAGCAUCGUUAUGUAUUUAAGGCUGUACAAUACAAUACAAAAAUUUUCUUAACCUAACCUUAAAGCAAAUAAUCAAAUCUAAUUAACAAACAUAAGCCAUCAAUAAGCAGAAAGUGAUGGCAGGUAGGGGUAGGGACUCUUCCUGACCAUGAAAUUGUGCUAGAACCUUAUAAUAUGUCCUUGGAAUUCCAGGCAAAGCACUAUAUAUUUGGUAAACAUGCAUUUAGUCACACAAAUCAAUGUGUUUUUU